GGUUAAGCGACUAAGCGUACACGGUGGAUGCCCUGGCAGUCAGAGGCGAUGAAGGGCGUGCUAAUCUGCGAUAAGCGCCGG
rnacentral:rRNA from 3 species